rnacentral:rRNA from 1 species
UACGUAGGUGGCGAACGUUGUCCGGAUUCACUGGGCGUAAAGCGCGCGCAGGCGGGUUGGUAAGUCUGAGGUGAAAGCUCCCGGCUCAACUGGGAGAAGCCCUUGGAUACUGCUAACCUUGAGACACUUAGAGGAGAGUGGAAUUCCCGGUGUAGUGGUGGAAUGCGUAGAUAUCGGGAGGAACACCAGUGGCGAAAGCGGCUCUCUGGGAGUGUUCUGACGCUGAGGCGCGAAAGCGUGGGGAGCAAAC